rnacentral:rRNA from 1 species
GAUGAACGCUGGCGGCGUGCCUAAUACAUGCAAGUCGAGCGAAUGGAUUAAGAGCUUGCUCUUAUGAAGUUAGCGGCGGACGGGUGAGUAACACGUGGGUAACCUGCCCAUAAGACUGGGAUAACUCCGGGAAACCGGGGCUAAUACCGGAUAACAUUUUGAACCGCAUGGUUCGAAAUUGAAAGGCGGCUUCGGCUGUCACUUAUGGAUGGACCCGCGUCGCAUUAGCUAGUUGGUGAGGUAACGGCUCACCAAGGCAACGAUGCGUAGCCGACCUGGGAGGGUGAUCGGCCACACUGGGACUGAGACACGGCCCAGACUCGUACGGGAGGCAGCAGUAGGGAAUCUUCCGCAAUGGACGAAAGUCUGACGGAGCAACGCCGCGUGAGUGAGGAAGGCUUUCGGGUCGUAAAACUCUGUUGUUAGGGAAGAACAAGUGCUAGUUGAAUAAGCUGGCACCUCGACGGUACCUAACCAGAAAGCCACGGCUAACUACGUGCCAGCCGCCGCGGUAA